rnacentral:rRNA from 1 species
AUGGAUUUUGCAAAGACACACAUAAGGGAAGCUUUGGCACAUAAGCCAAACCUCCUAGGUCAAGUGGUAGCUAUUGUUGAUAAGAGGUGGAAUCAGAUGGAACAAAAGCUACAUGGGGCUGCUUUGUUCUUGAACCCAAAUAAAUUCUUUGCCAUUAAGGAGUCCAACAGAAGACAAGCUGCCCGUCUCCGUUCAAUGUUCAAUGAUGUGCUAUGGAAGAUGGUGCCCGAUGAUGAGCAGCAAGCAACUAUUAGUAGGGAAGCUGACGACUAUGAGCUGGGGAGUGAAUGUUUCUCGAAGCCAUUGUCAAUUAAAGAUCGUGACAAAAAAGCCCUCGUAAGUAUAAAUUUUAUGGCAGCUUGUGUCUUCUUGUUCAGCUCAAUUACUCCACUAAUUGCUGGUUAUUGUGGCCUUCUCUUUAAUGUGGGACUUCUUGGUUUUGUAGUUCUUUGGUGGAAUGCUUAUGGUGGCCUUGCUUUUGACCUCCAAACUCUUGCAAAGCGAAUCAUUAGUCUAUGUUGUUCAGCAUCUGGCUGCGAGCGCAAUUAG